rnacentral:rRNA from 1 species
AACGAACGCUGGCGGCAUGCCUAACACAUGCAAGUCGAACGAGACCUUCGGGUCUAGUGGCGCACGGGUGCGUAACGCGUGGGAACCUGCCCUUAGGUUCGGAAUAACUCCCCGAAAGGGGUGCUAAUACCGGAUAAUGUCUUCGGACCAAAGAUUUAUCGCCUUUGGAUGGGCCCGCGUUGGAUUAGCUAGUUGGUAGGGAAAAAGCCUACCAAGGCGACGAUCCAUAGCUGGUCUGAGAGGAUGAUCAGCCACACUGGGACUGAGACACGGCCCAGACUCCUACGGGAGGCAGCAGUGGGGAAUAUUGGACAAUGGGCGAAAGCAUGAUCCAGCAAUGCCGCGUGAGUGAUGAAGGCCUUAGGGUUGUAGAGCUCUUUUACCCGGGAUGAUAAUGACGGUACCGGGAGAAUAAGCUCCGGCUAACUCCGUG